GAUGAACGCUAGCUACAGGCUUAACACAUGCAAGUCGAGGGGAAACGGCAUUUAGUGCUUGCACUGAAUGGACAUCGACCGGCGCACGGGUGAGUAACGCGUAUCCAACCUACCCAAUACUGAGGGAUAACCUGCCCAAAGGCAAACUAAUACCGCAUAGUCUUCUAUGACUGCAUCCUAUUUGAAGUGAAGAUUUAUCGGUAAUGGAUGGGGAUGCGUCUGAUUAUCUUGUUGACGGGGUAACGGCCCACCAAGGCGACCAUCAGUACGGGUUCUGAGAGGAAGGUCCCCCACAUUGGAACUGACAUACGGACCAAACUCCUACCGGAAGCACCACUGAAGAAUAUUGGGCAAUGGCCGCGAGCCUGAACCAACCAAGUACCGAGCAAGAUGACGGCCCUAUGGAUUGUAAACUGCUUUUGUAUGGCGAUAAAGUCAAUCACGUGUGAUUGGUUGCAGGUACCAUACGAAUAAAGACCGGCUAAUUCCGUGCCCACAGCCGCGGUAAUACCGAAGGUUCGGGCGUUAUCCGGAUUUAUUGGGUUUAAAGGGAGCGUAGGCCGGAGAUUAAGUGUGUUGUGAAAUGUAGACGCUCAACAUCUGACUUGCAGCGCAUACUGGGUUCCUUGAGUACGCGCAACGCUGGCGGAAUUCAUCGUGUAGCGGAGAAAUGCUUAGAUAUGACGAAGAACUCCAAUUGACGAAGGCAGCUGACGGGAGCGCAACUGACGCUUAAGCUCGAAGGUGCGGGUAUCGCAACAGGAUUAGAUACCUUGGUAGUCCGCACAGUAAACGAUGGAUGCCCGAUGUAUGUACCCGGUAUCAGCGGGUAAGCGAAAGCAUUAAGCAUCCCACGUGGGGAGUACGCCGGCAACGGUGAAACUCAAAGGAAUUGACGGGGGCCCGCACAAGCGGAGGAACAUGUGGUUUAAUUCGAUGAUACGCGAGGCACCUUACCCGGGCUUGAAUUGCAGAGGAAGGAUUUAGAGAUAAUGUCGCCCUUCGGGGCCUAUGUGAAGGUGGUGCAUGGUUGUCGUCAGCUCGUGCCGUGAGGUGUCGGCUUAAGUGCCAUAACGAGCGCAACCCCUCUCUGCAGUUGCCAUCAGGUGAUGCUGGGCAUUCUGGAGACACUGCCACCGUAAGGUGUGAGGAAGGUGGGGAUGACGUCAAAUCAGCACGGCCCUUACGUCCGGGGCUACACACGUGUUCCAAUGGCCGGUACAGAGGGAUGGUGUAAUGCAAAUUGCAUCAAAUCUUGAAAGCCGGUCCCAGUUCGGAAUGGGGUGUGCAACCUGACCCCAGGAAGCUGGAUUCGGUAGUAAUCGCGCAUCAGCCAUGGCGCGGUGAAUACAUUCCCGGGCCU
rnacentral:rRNA from 1 species